UUUCGCUAUAUUGCACGACUCAAGGAAAAUACGGCUUUGCAGAACUAUCAAGUGCGGACGCCACAAGUUAAUACCAAUUCCAUGCCUCACAAAGAACUUUAGCCAAUAUUUUUAGGAGGCAAAAGUGGGUGGGGAGAUGUGUGUGGCUUGGACCCUUGCUCUACAGUAGAACGCCUAGCCCUCUCUAACGCCUAGUCUCAUUCUAGUUCCUACUGUAGUUCCUGGCAUCCCAGAAACAUUGGAUUAUGCUCUCAACUCAAACAGUUUGUUAGAAGUUCCUAGUAUAUCAGAACCAUUGGACCAUGCUCUCAACUCAAACAGUUUGUUAGAAGUUUCUAGUAUACCAGAGACAUUGAAUGGUGUCCAAUCAGAAACAGUUCGAAAACCAACCCAAGAAACACAAGCUGAAAACUUCAGGGAUGAUGAAUGACAUCCAUUACUUCUAGAAUGAUGAAAACAAUUUGAUAUGAACAAAUAAAGUUAU